AUUGAACGCUGGCGGCAGGCUUAACACAUGCAAGUCGAGCGGUAACAGGAAGAAGCUUGCUUCUUUGCUGACGAGCGGCGGACGGGUGAGUAAUGCCUAGGAAUCUGCCUAGUAGUGGGGGAUAACUUGCCGAAAGGUAAGCUAAUACCGCAUACGUCCUACGGGAGAAAGGAGGGGACUCUUCGGAGCCUUUCGCUAUUAGAUGAGCCUAGGUCGGAUUAGUUAGUUGGUGAGGUAAUGGCUCACCAAGACCGCGAUCCGUAACUGGUCUGAGAGGAUGAUCAGUCACACUGGAACUGAGACACGGUCCAGACUCCUACGGGAGGCAGCAGUGGGGAAUAUUGGACAAUGGGGGAAACCCUGAUCCAGCCAUGCCGCGUGUGUGAAGAAGGUCUUAGGAUUGUAAAGCACUUUAAGUGGGAGGAAGGGCAGUUAACUAAUAUUUGACUGUUUUGACGUUACCGACAGAAUAAGCACGGCUAACUCGUGCCAGCAGCCG
rnacentral:rRNA from 1 species